rnacentral:rRNA from 1 species
CAGUCGCCACGGUAAUACAGAGGAUGCAAGCGUUAUCCGGAAUGAUUGGGCGUAAAGGGCUCGCAGGCGGUUUCUUAAGUCUGAUGUGAAAGCCCCCGGCUCAACCGGGGAGGGUCAUUGGAAACUGGGAAACUUGAGUGCAGAAGAGGAGAGUGGAAUUCCACGUGUAGCGGUGAAAUGCGUGGAGAUGUGGAGGAACACCAGUGGCGAAGGCGACUCUCUGGUCUGUAACUGACGCUGAGGAGCGAAAGCGUGGGGAGCGAACAGGAUUAGAUACCCGCGUAGUCCCUGUCUCUUAUAC